CUGCAGAGGAAGUCGCGGGAUCGUGUCCUCCGCGUGGCCACCCUGCUGAAGGACCUGGAGGCCCAGCGGGCCAGGAGGAACUGCCCCCGUUUCCGGGCCUCCGGGCGCCUGCACAGGUUCGCCCACCUGUCUCGGGACUGGCUCUUUGAGCUGCCCCUGGAGCUGAUGGGCGAGUGGGUGCACGCGGACAUGGCUGAGCAGUGGGGGCGCCUGCCCUUCGACGACACCCCCACGGGCGGGGCCCUGGCGUGGGUGCCCCAGGAGAGCGGCACGGCACCUGAGCAUGGCGGCUGCCUGGUGUACCCGUCCGGCCAGGCUACGAACCAGCUCUGUUUUCAGGACAUGGCUCUGAAGCCCACCAGCGCCGGCUCCCUACGGCCUCAC